GAUGAAGAACGCAGCGAAAUGCGAUAAGUAGUGUGAAUUGCAGAAUUCAGUGAAUCAUCGAAUCUUUGAACGCACAUUGCGCCCCUUGGUAUUCCAUGGGGCAUGCCUGUUCGAGCGUCAUUUGUACCUUCAAGCUUUGCUUGGUGUUGGGUGUUUGUCUCGCCUUUGCGUGUAGACUCGCCUUAAAAUAAUUGGCAGCCGGCGUAUUGAUUUCGGAGCGCAGUACAUCUCGCGCUUUGCACUCAUAACGACAGCGUCCAAAUGUACAUUUUACACUCUUGACCUCGGAUCAGGUAGGGAUACCCGCUGAACUUAAGCAUAUCAAUAAGCGGAGGA
rnacentral:misc_RNA from 1 species